UUUGGCUUUCGACGGGGGUCAGAAGGGUUUAAGAAGCGGGUCGAGGAUCCCAGUGCCUCGUAAAAAACAGGGGAUUAAAAAAUAAACGAUAACGAUAAUAAUUUAGCUUUAGCUGCCUAGUUGCAGCUCGUCCUCCUAAGAGUACCACGGCUUAGAGCAGGGCGUCGAUAGUGGUGAACCGAGCUUACCAAAGCUUUGAGGUUAGAACGGAAUUUAUGAAGCUACUGAAACUUAAAGCCUGCUUUUGGGCGUUAAGCAGAGGGAAUGUUAAAACAAAAGCUGCACCCGAAGAUGCUUAAAUUCUUGGGCUUUCGGACAGGGGUUCGAUUCA
rnacentral:tmRNA from 2 species